AACGAACGUUGGCGGCAGGCUUAACACAUGCAAGUCGAACGCAUCCUUCGGGGUGAGUGGCAGACGGGUGAGUAACGCGUGGGAACGUGCCCUUCAGUUCGGGAUAACCCAGGGAAACUUGGGCUAAUACCGGAUACGUGCGAGAGCAGAAAGAUUUAUCGCUGAAGGAUGGGCCCGCGUCUGAUUAGCUAGUUGGUGGGGUAAUGGCCCACCAAGGCGACGAUCAGUAGCUGGUCUGAGAGGAUGAUCAGCCACAUUGGGACUGAGACACGGCCCAAACUCCUACGGGAGGCAGCAGUGGGGAAUAUUGGACAAUGGGCGCAAGCCUGAUCCAGCCAUGCCGCGUGAGUGAUGAAGGCCUUAGGGUUGUAAAGCUCUUUCGUCCGGGACGAUAAUGACGGUACCGGAAGAAGAAGCCCCGGCUAACUUCGUGCCAGCCGCCGCGGUAA
rnacentral:rRNA from 1 species